rnacentral:lncRNA from 1 species
AAAAAGAAUAAGGAAAGAUAGAAAGAGUAUAAGGAAGUUCAUUACGAUAGUCCGUAGGCCACGAUCGCACCUUGAUAACUCCUGAUUACGGUGACUUACAUUAAUGGCUUCUAUCUCUCCUGCGGACCGUAAGCGCGAGCAUGUUGGACUACGAGAGGACUACUACUACCUCUUUGCCUGAGAAAAUGAAGAAAAAGAAAAAAAAAAAGAAGAAGAAGAAGAAGUAGCAAA